GCCUCCCGUUGCCCAUCAUAAUGUUUAGGCUUCGGGUAUUCAAUUCUCGGGGCAACAAUAGUUGAAGCGGCACCUCCGCUUGUACCGGCAGUAGAUUGCUUGUAUUGAUCAAGCUGGUUGCUCAUCCUUUCCAUCAUCACAGCCAAUUGAUUAACUUGGCCAUGCAUGGUGGAAAUGGCAUCCAUGACUUUGGUUUGGAGACGACCAAAAUCAUCCGUCACCGCGGCUUGUCCGGCUACCACAGCUCGAACAUCACCUUUCAUUGUUUGGACAUCAUCCCCCAACGAUGCCUGUGUGUCCAUCACCUCUUGGACAUUUAUUUGUAGAGUUUCUAUCUUUCCAAUGGCGUGUCCCUCCAACGCCUCGAAGGAGCUUUCAAGAGAUUCGACCCGAUCACCCAUAUUUGAGAUGAUUUGGUCAAGUUUCCCUUCCAUGUUGGUGGUUUCCCUCACCUUACUUUUUCCUCUAGUUUUCCUUACUUCAGUUUGGGCAGCACCUCGACCCCUCUCCUCAAUCUCAAUAUCAACAGUUUCUUGAAAUUCCGCCAUUUGAGCACCUCACCCAAAUCUAGCUUCCAAGAAUCUCCGGCGAAUCUGGCUACCACAGCCGCACUUGGUUACCACAACCAAACCUUCGCCUUAGACUACCUCCGUAGUCCACACCACGUGAACCUUACACGGAGAUCACCUCACCUCUGAGAUGAAAAAUUGGUUCAACCCCACGUGAACCUGGCUCUGAUACCACUUGUCACGGGCCUAGUUUCGUUACACCUGAACAAACUAGAGCCGUGCGGCCUUAACGCUCUACAAUUCCCGCACCUCACGAGAAAACGUUAAGUCAGCCUUUCUACGCCCACAAAUAAUUUAACCAGUGAGGCUAAAUUAUACCCACGUUGAGAAGAGAAUUUUGAAGUAAGUAAUAUAUGGAAAACAAGUAAGGAUUGGGGAAACUUUCUUUAUAUAAAUGAAAGGAAAAACUUUACAAUCUCUCUUGAAAGAAUAAACUCACUCACUCUACAUUCUCUCCAUUCUCU
rnacentral:lncRNA from 1 species